CAGGCUCUCGGCGCCGCUGUCCCCCGGCCCAGGUUCUGUGAUACACUCCGACUCGGGCUCUGGAGCAGUCAGUGCAUGACAGAACUUGGGCCCGGAAGGACCUUCUGCACCCAGCGGGC
rnacentral:pre_miRNA from 14 species